rnacentral:rRNA from 1 species
GCAGCAGCCACGGGAAUACGUAGGUGGCAAGCGUUGUCCGGAAUUAUUGGGCGUAAAGCGCGCGCAGGCGGCCUAUCCAGUCUGUCUUAAAAGUUCGGGGCUCAACCCCGUGAUGGGAUGGAAACUAGUAGGCUAGAGUAUCGGAGAGGAAAGCGGAAUUCCUAGUGUAGCGGUGAAAUGCGUAGAUAUUAGGAAGAACACCAGUGGCGAUGGCGGCUUUCUGGACGAAAACUGACGCUGAGGCGCGAAAGCUAGGGGAGCGAACGGGAUUAGAUACCCCCGUAGUCCCUGUCUCUUAUACA